GGGCCUGUAGCUCAGUCGGUAGAGCGUCGCCCUUUUAAGGCGAGCGUCGUGGGUUCGAGUCCCACCGGGCCCAC
rnacentral:tRNA from 15 species